UACUCCCUCCGUCCCAGCCAAUUCUUUACGUUUGGUUUGGGCACGGAGGUUAAGAAAUAUGUAUAAAGUAGUGGAAAAGAGAAAGAAAAAUGGGUGAAGUGGCGGGACCCAUCAAUUUUUAAUGUAUAAAAGAGAGAUAGUGGAGUAAAAGUAGUGUGAAAAGGGAGUAAAAGUAGUGUGAAAAGGAAAGAAAAGUUGGGAAGUGGUGGGACCCAUUGACUAUUUUUGGUAAGUUUUGAAAUGUAAAGAAUUGGAUGGGACAUCCCAAAAAGGAAACUGUAAAGAACCUGGUGGGACGGAGGG
rnacentral:lncRNA from 1 species